UAAUACGUAGGGUGCAAGCGUUGCCCGGAUUUAUUGGGCGUAAAGGGCGCGCAGGCGGCCCGGCGCGUCCGCGGUGAAAGCUCCCGGCUCAACUGGGAGAGGUCCGCGGAAACGGUCGGGCUGGAGCAAGGUAGGGGGUCGUGGAAUUCCCGGUGUAGUGGUGGAAUGCGUAGAGAUCGGGAGGAACACCAGUGGCGAAGGCGGCGACCUGGACCUUUUGCUGACGCUGAGGCGCGAAAGCGUGGGGAGCGAUCCGGAUUAGAUACCCGGGUAGUCCACGCCGUAAACGAUGCGGACUAGGUGUCGGGGGUAUCGACCCCCUCGGCGCCGCAGCUAACGCACUAAGUCCGCCGCCUGGGGACUACGGCCGCAAGGCUA
rnacentral:rRNA from 1 species